AAUAAGUAUAGUUUUGCACUAUUCACGUUCAACGUUUAACCGUUCGUCUUAUUUGAAAUUUUUUUAUAAUUAGUAUUUUUAUUGCUAUUAAAUGAUAAAACAUGAAUAAUACUUUAUGUGUGACUAAAUAUUUUUAAAUUUUUUAUAAAUUUUUUAAAUAAAACGGACGGUCAAAUGUUGGGCACGGAUAUCUAUGGCUAUACUUAUU
rnacentral:pre_miRNA from 1 species